GCGGCCGCGGGGGACCGGCUCCGGGAGGGCGGAGCUGGGCGCCUGUGGGAGGGCUUAACUCGCGAUCUCUGGAGACCAGAGGUUUAGUAAGCGUGUUUGGUGGUUGUCGAGUCUUCCUAGGCCCUGCCUCGCGGUGCCAUUGUGGGAAGGUCCUCUAAAGAGAAAGGGGAGGGAAAGAAAGGAACUGAGGAGAGAUCGGUUGUAGCCCCUUCGGCUGAGCUGCGCGCGGGGCGGAGCCUGGGUGGGCGGGGCCUUUGGUGGGCGUAGUCCUGGCGGGGCGGGGCCAGGCGGGGACGCGCGGGGAGCUGGGGCCCGGGGUCGCGCGCCUCCCAGCUGGAGGCGGAGCCGGCGGGAGGACGUGGGAAAGGUGUGUGUCCUGGGGCACUGCGUCUUCAGCGUGUCGUCUGCGGGGGUAUUUUAAAUUCCCGAACAAGCCCAGAAAGGAGUCCUCAAGACUGCAAGGGAACACCAGAUGAAGGCGAGCUGGCCUGGCCUGGCGCGCUCAGCUCUCCGCGAGGAAGCGGGGAUGGGCAGGAUUGCCUUCGCGCCUCCCCUGCUUCUGCAGCCAAGCCCUGAAGCGGCUUCCUUCGGGGUGGAGAGAAUUCUCGGCGCCGCCCGGAAAGGGUCCCCGGGGGGCUGGCGGGCUGCCCCUCCGGGCCGGGCUCCGGCCUCGCUCGCCGGCUGGGACGCGUUGCCGUGGCGGUAGCCAUGGGGACCAGAGUGGCUGGUGCUGGGAUUCACAGAAGAUUGCGAAAAUAACUCUGCGGUGCCGAGCCAAAGCGCUUUGUUACAAGUUUCAGGAGGCCUCUACUCUAGCGGUAGCUGCGAUGUAUUUUAUUAUUAUGCGUUUUACGUUCAGUGCUAGGAUAGGUAAAAUGAGGAAGGACGGUGUGAUGGAUCAGGUGGUUCCUGAUAACCUUAUUAAAUGUCUGCAUCUUCACUGAGUUAAUUUUAGGAGUGGAAUAAUUAUUUAGGAAGACCAUGGUAACUGGCAAGUAUAGGUGAAUUCUCUGCACUUAAGGAGCGCUAGCUAUACCAGAGUAUCAGAUUCAUUUGUCUGAAUUUUCUGUAUUCUUUGAGUAGAAGUCAACCUCUCAGUGAGAACCGCUGAGGUUGUUUUGUCCUUUGUGAUCUAAAAUUGAAACUUUGGAAACAAACUCUUUGAGGAGUUAUGUUCAACAUAGAAGUGAGUUUCACAUCAUAUUACAAUGAACACAGGCAAAUUGGAAGAUUUACUCUAAAAAAGCUCGGUGCAAAGUAACUGACUGCUACAACUGAGAGCUGUAUCAACAUUUAGCAAGAUUUUAACUUGCCUUCGAGCAUCCCAGAACUUUAUGCAAGACAAUUAGGAACAAAAUCGUACAUUAAGGUUUCUUCUGAAGAGUUUUGUAUGACUGGGCUGGAGACGAGAACUCUAGCUGUCCUGCUGCUGAAUUGUAAACUGGGCAAGUUGUUACUAAACUGCACAUUUGUUAUGUCUGAUAUAUUUUCUCUAUGCUUCGUAGAGCUGUUUGAUUACUACUAGUAAUAUGUGUGGAAUGGCUUUAAACAAAGGGCUACGUAAAGUAUAUUUUAUUUUUAUGUUUGAACUAGUGAUUGGUUUUGCCAGUAAACAUUAAGCGAAGAGAAUUGGGGCAUGGUGAGAGACUAUUUAGGACUUUAGGUAACUAGUAACAGGGUUAAGGUGGGACUGCUUCUCUGUAUGCAAGAGAACUUUGGAGUUAUUAAACUAUUCAUGCGUUAAAAUUAUAUAGGCAUCUCUUGAAAAAUUACUACUAUGCGCGUUAGAUUUUGAGAAAAUACAUACUUCGCUUCUAAGUAGCUCACAUUUGUUUAAAAGUUCUGAUGUUCAGUUAAAUUUUCUAGACAUUUAUCAAGAAUUUAAAACAUUAUUCCAAAGGAAUAUGAGAGCUAUAUGAGAUAAACUGUGUUCCAAAGUACCAUCUGAGGGAUUAGGAAGAGAUCAGUAAAUGAAUGUUAAUGCAUGUUAAUGUCACCUUUCCUGUAAACUACAGGAUGCUUUUGGCUAGUGGGAUCAUUGACUUAUCCAAAGUUCUUGACUAUUAUCUUAAAUAAUAGCAAAUAAUGUAAUUUCCAGUACAUUGUAAAAUGUCAUUUUACAGUAACUUGUCACUGCUUUAAACCUAUCUGUUGGAAUUAAGCACUAUAACAUGCCAAUACUAAUGUGCUUUUGUAGUUGAAAUUUCAUAUUCUACUGUCUGGAGACUGUUUCGUUGUCAUAAACAGGGAGUGGGAUGCCACUGGUGUGUAGUUAGAAAAGGCCAAGGAUGCAGCAAAAAAUCUUACAAUACACAGAACAAUUCCUAACAGGCAAUUAACUCACCAAAAAGUCAAUGUGCCAUUGAGAAAACUUGACCUACUGAACUGUCUUAUGUAGGCUGUAUUCAGGCAUAAAAGUCUUGUUGGUUAUCAUACUUACAUCAAAAAAUAAGUGUAUAUUUAAAUUUAUUGCAUAUCUGUGAUCAUAAUGUUUGAAAUGUUAAAGUCAAUUGUUAAAGUCAAUUUGGAGGAAAAAAAGUUUUAUUACUACUGUUAGUGUACAGCCGGUCAAACAACAUACAUAUCCCAGUUUUGAAUGGUUAAAGUGUAAGAUUUUACUGAGAUGGAUUUCUUUAUGAGAUUGGAAAAGUGUUUCCUUACCUAAUCAUUGGAACUAUUUUCUUACAUUGCUUUUGUUUUGUGGCCUGGCAGUUAGUGUACCCUUUCUGCUUCUACCUGGGUAAGAGAUACUCUUUUUGUAAAAGUUCAAUUCCCUCUGUUCUGAAGUGCCUUGAACAGUUUCUGGUAUAUAUGGUUGUUCCAUUAGCAGUCGUUAGAUAGAUGGAUAAACAAUUGAAAGGAUAUACACUUCAAAAUUAAAUGUUAUAGUAGUCCAAGCUAGAAAUCAUAGGUGUUAGUAUCAGAUUAAAUGUUAUUAUAAUAACACAACUAGAAAUGAUGGGUGAAAACUUGUACAUUUUGGAUAUACAGUAUUCUGAAGACAAAGCAAGGGAAACUUACUUAAAAUUUGCAUGUAAAAGAGAAACAUCAGCUAUCACUGCAUGCCUAUGGUCCUGAAAAACUGUAAGUUACCAUUUGUCCAAGUCUUUUGGGGCUAUUGUAAGAAAAAUAUGAUAGGUUAGAUAACUUAUAAACAUAGAAAUUUAUUUUUCUCAGUUUUGGAGGCUAGAAAACUCCAUGAUCAAGGUACUUGGAAAAUUUGGUGUCUCCUGCUUCAUAGAUGUGCGUAUGUUUGAUGUCUUCAUAUGCCCAUAGCACAGAAUCUGAGAUUUCCUUUAUAAGGAUGCUAAUCACCUCCCACACAUCCUGCCUUCAGAUACCAUCACACUGGGGUUAGGCUUCAACAUCAGAAUUUGUGAGGGACACCAACAUUCAGAUCACAGCACCGCUUAUUCGUAUGGGGGAGACUGAGACGAAUAGGAUGAUGAAGGUGGAAGUGUAAUUCUUCUGUCCAUUUUCUUCAGUGGCACAUUUGUGUUUCUAAAUUUAAUUUUCCAUUGAAACCUGUACUUAUCUAUCACAAUAUAAAUAAUACCAUGUAUUGCCUUCAGUUUAAAAGGUCUAAACAUUUUCUCACAGACUGAUGGGACAUUUCCCAUGCUCUACCUUCAAGUUGAACACCUGACAACAUUAAUUGAAAUACUUCUACUAAGUACUAUUAUCUCAUUUAUGUGUAUUAGGAGAUUGAACCUUCAGCUCACGUUUGGUUACUGAAGGUUUUUCUUUAAAAAACUAUUGAGUUUAAAAUACAGUAAGACGUAUUUUCUACACAACUUUCUAUAUAGGUAUUUUCUCAUUUCAAAUAGUUGGCUCUGCUGGUUGUCAAGCUCAUACCAAACCUGUGAGUUUGCUUGUAGUAAUUGAAUCAUAAGUUUUCUGAUUUGUUCAGAAUGAAGCAAAUUAAUCCAAACACAAAUGCAGUGUUGUAAUUUAUUAUUUAUAAUUCAUAUUAUCACGUAGUGUGAGUUUUCCGCAUUGCCUAGGUUAAUUCUGAGAAAUGAAUUUUUCAGUGUAUUUUUUUAAACUUUAUUGAUUUAUUUAUUUGGUUUGCUUUGGUUAAGCAGAGAAAAUAAUACAUGCAAAAUUGUCAUUUUCAAUGAGAACCCACUUGUUAAGAUCUCUAAAAAAGUUGCCCCAAGACAAGUCUGACUGUAAACCUAUGUAAAUUAAAAUUAUUGUUUUCUGUCUUAUGGGUUGGCACAUGCACUGAAUAUGGAUAGGUAAAAGAUGCACUGUGUUCAACUUAAUGGCUCUACAGAUUGCAAAAGUCAGCCAUAACUAAAGAUUUAAUAUAAUUAAGCCUUUUUACCAAGUUUUUAAGAGCAGUCUUGAAUAAAACUGGCUUUUGGUUUUAACAGUGUGUAUGUGGAAAGAAGAAUACCAGGAUUUGACUCAUGCUAGCACUUUUAUUCCCCAUUGCUUUUUAAUCCUCAGUACAAAUGUUAAUGCAGGUGUUCCAAGAUAAACUAUAAUGUUUAAAAAAUUACUUAACAC